rnacentral:lncRNA from 1 species
GCUUUCCUGAUACAGAUCUCCCAGGACCGGUCGACCCGAGCACUGUGAGCCGAGGUGCUGCAGCCACGCAUACCCCACCUGGGGGUCCGGGGGGCAGUGGGGGCCUUCAGGCUGCCCACGGGGCUCUGCAGGCUGCUGCCAGCCCAGCCUGGGACCUGCCCAGGGGGCUGCCAUCGCCACACGUGUGCCUGAGGAGAGUGUGAGCCCAACUGUCUGAGCGGUGCCGAUGGCCCAGAGGUACUCGCAAGGCUGCGCAAAGAUGCCCGUCAUUUACUGGGAGGAUCCUCCCAAAAGAAGUCUGAGGUUCAGAUGAACCAAAGCAGAGCCAACGAUCCAAUUGCAUCUUACUUCUCCAGAUUUCUCUUGUGGAUGUCAAUACGGCAGCGGUGCAGCUUUCACAUCCACAUGCUCGGGGCAGAGAUGGGAGAUGGUCGUUGUGAGGCAUGGGCACAGACCAGGCGAGGGGCGCUCUCCUCCUCCCACGAGCCCCCGUUGUGCUCUGCCGUGCCCCAGGGCUGCCCUGGGAUGCGCUGCCCACGGGGGACCCCGGCACACAGAGGGGGGGAAGCAGGCAGCAGCCAGCGUUGUGCUCCGGGCUGGGGCAGCCGAUGCCCAGGUGCCGAUGGAAGGCCCGGCUGUGUGAGCAGUGCAGGAUUGAGCCGUGUUGGCAGCUCCUGCUCAAGGGCCCUGCACGUAGCGUGGUUCUGGCUCCUGCUGCUCCUGCCUGGCCUCCAGCAGCGUGCCUGGUGCAGGUUUCUGCCAGGCUUGUGCAGCCUUCGGCGCAGCCCCAGGCACUGCAGGCGCUUCCAGCCCACCUCUGCACGAGGGCUCCUCUGACAGGUGUUCCCAGCGACAGCUCCAAGCAGAUCCUCUCAAACGGCCGAGCGUGGGCUCCUCGCCGUGUGGCAGUCACAAAACUCCCCGGUUUGCCAGGGUGACCCCUGCUCCUGGUGGGAAACUACUUGCAGUAGUCCUGCGGAAAUUUUCAAGCCCAGUAUCGUGCUUGCUCUGCUCGGGAGUUUGCUUUUGCUCCGGAUGCCUUCUGCGUCUUCAGGCGCUUAAUGGAAACGCCAGUGCUCGCACUUGGAGGGCAGGCCGGAAAGUUUAUGUGGACUUGUACAAGUGCCAGAGUGACAUUUUUGUCAGCCGGAAGCCUAUUUCCAUUAUGCCUUUGUCAGACUUUGCCUCAACAGAGGGGAAUUUGGGGCUUUCUGUGUCAAAGUGCUGUACAAAUGUUAUCUGAGGCCUUUACCACCCAUCAGUGCUGCGGUUUUGUGCUGUUCUUGGGAAGCACCCUGAAGCACUUGAGCAGGAACAGGGCAGGUGAGGGUCAGUGCUCUCGCCCUGAGGGAAAUGCUCAAUGAGGUUUUUUUAAUUCUUUCCUCCCUGUGUGUUCCCUGCUUUAGAUGCACACUUGUGCAUACGCUCUUCUAUUUAGCCCGGUUUCUUCUAUUUCUAGCUCCAAAAUUUCUCAUCUUCUCAACAGGGGAGAUGCCUGCUCUAGCAGGGGAGCGGGACUUGAGGAGGAGAACCCUGCAAAAACCUCGGGCUGGGGGCUGUUCAGACCCGGGCUGGCUGGACGCCGGGCUUCUCAUGGUGCCAGCUUCCACACUUGCAGCUUUGGUUGUUUGAGCACCUUUUAAAAAACUUGCUGUAGGUUAGUAAAACAAAAUACCCUUCACAAAGCAUUCACUUUUUGUUUACUACCUUAAACUUCUCCUCUUUUCUUGCUCUCCCAAAGCCUGCUGGCGGGAAGAAGCAGGCGGCUGCGGCGGCGUGGUGGUACCACGGGGAGCCCCGGCCACUCUGCCACAGCUUGCUCGCCUUCUGUGACAUCUUCUGGGCAAUAAAACUGCUGCUUUGUUUGGGUGUUGAUAGUAC